UACAGAGGGUGCAAGCGUUAAUAGGAAUUACUGGGCGUAAAGCGCACGUAGGUGGCGACGUAAGUCGGGUGUGAAAGCCCCGGGCUCAACCUGGGAAUUGCAUUCGAGACUGCAUUGCUGGAGUACGGAAGAGGAGGGCGGAAUUCCCGGUGUAGCGGUGAAAUGCGUAGAUAUCGGGAGGAACAUCAGUGGCGAAGGCGGCCCUCUGGUCCAGUACUGACACUCAAGUGAGAAAGCGUGGGGAGCAAACAGG
rnacentral:rRNA from 1 species